GUUUGUUUGAAGUUAUAAAGAAUUUAACCUGCCCCCUGAUUAAUUAUUAAAGGGCCGCAGUAUUAUAACUGUGCAAAGGUAGCAUAAUCAUUAGGUUUUUAAUUGAAAUCUCGUAUGAAUGGUUGGACAAAAGAAAAACUCUCUUUAUGUUAAGUUUUGAAUUUAACUUUUAAGUGAAAAGGCUUAAAUAUUCUAAAGGGACGAUAAGACCCUAUAAAACUUUACAUUGUCAUUAAUUUUGAUUGAAUUUAUGAAAUAAAAAUUUCAUUUGAUUAUUUGUUAUGUUGGGGAGACAUAAGUAAAAAUUUUUUAACUGCUUUGAUAAUUAUACAAUUAUUAAUGAAUAAGUAGAAGAUCCUUUUUUUAAGAUUAGUAGAUUAAGUUACUUUAGGGAUAACAGUGUGAUUUCUUUUGAGAGUUCUUAUCGAAAAAGAAGAUUGCAACCUCGAUGUUGAAUUAAAAUAUCUGUAUAAUGGAGAGAUUAUAUAAGAAGGUCUGUUCGACCUUGAAAAUUUUACAUGAUUUGAGUUCAAACCGGCGUAAG
rnacentral:rRNA from 1 species